GCUUCGGUGACACAGUGGUUAGAGCGUCUGCCUUGGAUGCGGGAGGUCGUGGGUUCGAUCCCCGGUCGAGUCA